CCUACGGGAGGCAGCAGUGAGGAAUAUUGGUCAAUGGGCGGAAGCCUGAACCAGCCAAGUCGCGUGAGGGAUUAAGGCCCUGCGGGUCGUAAACCUCUUUUGCCGGGGAGCAGAGGUCCGGACGUGUCCGGGCCGGGAGAGUACCCGGAGAAAAAGCAUCGGCCAACUCCGUGCCAGCAGCGGCGGUAAUACGGGGGAUGCGAGUGUUAUCCGGAUUUAUUGGGUUUAAAGGGUGCGUAGGCGGGCAUUUAAGCCGGCGGUCAAAUGUCGGGGCUCAACCCCGGCCUGCCGUCGGAACUGGGUGCCUUGAGUGGGCGAGAAGUAUGCGGAAUGCGUGGUGUAGCGGUGAAAUGCAUAGAUAUCACGCAGAACCCCGAUUGCGAAGGCAGCAUACCGGCGCCCUACUGACGCUGAGGCACGAAAGUGCGGGUAUCGAACAGGAUUAGAUACCCCGGUAGUC
rnacentral:rRNA from 1 species